GUUUAAUGAGAAGGGUUUUGCUUGAUAGGAUACACAUAACUCUGUGAUGUUGUAUUGGAGAGUGUCUCAGUUUUAAAUCAUUUUCCACACAGUCUGUGCCUGAAUUUAGUUUUCAUACUCGUGAGGGCUGAGAAUCCACUCUCACAUAGGUACGUGGUUGCAAAGGGCCGUGUCUUAACAGUGCGAUUUGCCAAGGCAGGAUACUCUGAGCUCAGCCCAAUCCAGAAAUCAGGCAGUGGCUUCUGAUUUUAAAUGACAUUUUCACAGAACUGCUUGUUGCAAUUUCGGUGAGGCUCUCUUGUUCAGAUAUUGUUAAGUGGACUGGAGGCAGGACAUGAAAGGGAUAACGAAUCCAGUUGUUUAUGUCAUCUGUUUCGGGAAAGUACCUGUGUAAUUGCGCACCCAACUCACUCAGGUGCUUCACUAUAUCACAUUAGACGUUGUCCGUAAGCUUGAGUUCAUUUGCACACAAAUCAUACAAUGAUGGAAAGAUCUGUGUGUUGUCCUUGUUAUGCAGACAAAGAAGAGGUCCAACUUCUUAAUCAUGGCUUCAAUUUUGUCCCACACAUUGAAUAUAGUUGCAGAGAGUCCCUGUAAUCCUAGAUUCAGAUCAUUCAGGUGAGGGGAAAAAAACAUCACCCAGAAAGGCCAGUUGUGUACGAGAAACUCGUCAUCAUGCAAGCGGUCAGACAAGUGAAAAUGAUGUGUCCAAAACGUCUUUCAAGCUGUCAGGCAUUCCUUUGGCAGCAAGAGCCUCUCAGUGGAUGCUGCAGUGGACCCAAGUGACGUCGGGAGCAACUGUUGCAUUACCACUCCACUAUGUCUCUCUGUCAUGGCUUUCGCACCCUCAGUACAGAUACCAACAUAAGCAGCAGCUACGUUUGUUACAUUCAGACUGGUAGUGGAAUUCCCGUGAGAGAGUAACGGUUAGUGUGAUUGGAUGUUCAUUAAUUGACUAGGCCAGCUGUAUUUGACAUUGUGUUGUGCUGAACACCUAGAUGGUUUAAUUUUAUUUUUGGCAGUGAAACGAGGCCACUCAGGCGAGAGAUAAAUCUCUCCCAAAUGUGUAGCCCCGUUGGAAAAUAUAAAUGGACUGUUUGAAAAUGUGAAGAAUUAAUUUUUUUAAACUUUUUUUACAUGUGAAUCACAUUUAUAUUUGGUGUACCCCCGGCAUUGUGUGUACCCCUGGUUGGGAAUACCUGAUCUAAGACCAGGACUACAGGCGAUCAUCACCAUAAGUCCCACUUCCAUAUAUUUUUCAUACAGUUGAAGUCGGAAGUUUACAUACACUUUGGUUGGAGUCAUUAAAACUUGUUUUUCAACCACUCCACAAAUUUCUUGUUAACAAACUAUAGUUUUGGCAAGUCGGUUAGGACAUCUACUUUGUGCCUGACACAAGUCAUUUUUCCAACACUUGUUUACAGACAGAUUAUUUCACUUAUAAUUCACUGUAUCACAAUUCCGGUGGGUCAGAAGUUUACAUACACUAAGCUGACCGUGCCUUUAACCUCUAGCAUCCCACCACGACAACAUCCGGUGAAAUUGCAGAAUCCCAAAUAGCGAUAAAAUAAAUCACUUACCUUUUCAAGAUCUUCCUCUGUUUGCAAUCCCAAGGGUCCCAGCUACACAAAAAAUGGUCGUUUUGUUCGAUAAAGUCCUUCUUUAUAUACCAAAAAUGUCAGUUUAGUUGGCGCGCUUGAUUCAGUAAUCCACUCGUUCAACAUGCAUACAAAUGAAUCCAAAAAGUUACCAGUAAAUUUUGUCCAAACAAGUCAAACGAUGUUUCUAAUUAAUCCUCAGGUACUCUAAUAUCUAAACAAACCUUAAAAUUUAAGACGGAGAAUAGUAUGUUCAAUAGGGAAGAUAAAUAACGAAGAGCGCGCACCUCAUUCACGCGCGCAACAGGACUACUUUUCUAAUGAGACACCUUGGAAAAACUACAACUUGUUCGUUUUUCAAAAAACAAGCCUGAAACCCUUUCUAAAGACUGUUGACAUCUAGUGGAAGCCAUAGGAACUGCAAUCUGGGAGGAAUUAUUUUGAGUAUGCCAUAGGCUUGCAUUGAAAUGGCCUGUGACCUAAAAAAAAAUUCUCCCCCUGAUGGAUUCUCCCCUGGUUUUUGCCUGCCAUAUCAGUUCUGUUAUACUCACAGACAUUAUUUUAACAGUUUUAGAAACUUCAGAGUGCUUCCUAUCCAAUGCCAAUUAUAUGCAUAUCCUAGCAUCUGGG
rnacentral:lncRNA from 1 species